rnacentral:rRNA from 1 species
CAAUAGCGUAUAUUAAAGUUGUUGCGGUUAAAAAGCUCGUAGUUGGAUUUCUGUUGGGAACGACCGGUCCGCCCAUUGGGUGUGUAUCUGGCUUGUUCUCGGCAUCUUCUUGGUGAACGUUGCUGCACUUGACUGUGUGGAGCGCUACCCAGGACUUUUACUUUGAGGAAAUUAGAGUGUUUCAAGCAGGCAUAUGCCUUGAAUACAUCAGCAUGGAAUAAUAAGAUAGGACCUCGGUUCUAUUUUGUUGGUUUCUAGAGCUGAGGUAAUGAUUAAUAGGGAUAGUUGGGGGCAUUCGUAUUUAACUGUCAGUGGUGAAAUUCUUGGAUUUGUUAAAGACGGACUACUGCGAAAGCAUUUGCCAAGGAUGUUUUCAUUGA